rnacentral:rRNA from 1 species
GGAUGCGAUCAUACCAGCACUAAAGCACCGAAUCCCAUCAGAACUCUGAAGUUAAGCGUGCUUGGGCAAGAGUAGUACUAGGAUGGGUGACCUCCUGGGAAGUCCUCAUGUUGCAUUCC